GGGAAGGUAGCUCAGUGGUAGAGUGCUUGCCUGGCAUGCAUGAGGCCCUGGGUUCAAUUCCUCAGCACCA
rnacentral:tRNA from 1 species